ensembl:miRNA Mir466q microRNA 466q
GUGUGUGUGUGUGUGUGUGUGUGUGUGUGUGUAUGUGUGUGUAGUAUAUGUGCACACACACACAUACGUACCCAUGCAUG